rfam:Citrus clementina cultivar Clemenules unplaced genomic scaffold scaffold_9, whole genome shotgun sequence.
GGGUCGAUGCCCCAGCAGUUAAUAGGAACGUACUAUAAAUUCAUUGGCAAUAUGUCUACGCUGGUUUAAAUCCAGCUCGGCCCA